ACUGAGACACGGACCAGACUCCUACGGGAGGCAGCAGUGAGGAAUAUUGGACAAUGGAGGCAACUCUGAUCCAGCCAUGCCGCGUGCAGGAAGACUGCCCUAUGGGUUGUAAACUGCUUUUAUAGAGGAAGAAACCUCCCUUCGUGAAGGGAAUUGACGGUACUCUACGAAUAAGGAUCGGCUAACUCCGUGCCAGCAGCCGCGGUAAUACGGAGGAUCCAAGCGUUAUCCGGAAUCAUUGGGUUUAAAGGGUCCGUAGGCGGACUAAUAAGUCAGUGGUGAAAGUCUGCAGCUCAACUGUAGAAUUGCCAUUGAUACUGUUAGUCUUGAGUCAUUAUGAAGUGGUUAGAAUGAGUGGUGUAGCGGUGAAAUGCAUAGAUAUCACUCAGAAUACCGAUUGCGAAGGCAGAUCACUAAUAAUGUACUGACGCUGAUGGACGAAAGCGUAGGUAGCGAACAGGAUUAGAUACCCUGGUAGUCUACGCCGUAAACGAUGGUUACUAGCUGUUUGGUCGAUUGAGACUGAGUGGCUAAGCGAAAGUGAUAAGUAACCCACCUGGGGAGUACGUUCGCAAGAAUGAAACUCAAAGGAAUUGACGGGGGCCCGCACAAGCGGUGGAGCAUGUGGUUUAAUUCGAUGAUACGCGAGGAACCUUACCAGGGCUUAAAUGUAGUCUGACAGAUUUGGAAACAGAUUUUUCUUCGGACAGAUUACAAGGUGCUGCAUGGUUGUCGUCAGCUCGUGCCGUGAGGUGUCAGGUUAAGUCCUAUAACGAGCGCAACCCCUGUGGUUAGUUGCCAGCGAGUCAAGUCGGGAACUCUAGCCAGACUGCCGGUGCAAACCGUGAGGAAGGUGGGGAUGACGUCAAAUCAUCACGGCCCUUACGUCCUGGGCCACACACGUGCUACAAUGGUAGGGACAGAGAGCAGCCACUUCGCGAGAAGGAGCGAAUCUUCAAACCCUAUCACAGUUCGGAUCGCAGUCUGCAACUCGACUGCGUGAAGCUGGAAUCGCUAGUAAUCGGAUAUCAGCCAUGAUCCGGUGAAUACGUUCCCGGGCCUUGUACACACCGCCCGUCAAGCCAUGGAAGCUGGGGGUACCUGAAGUCCGUUACCGCAAGGAGCG
rnacentral:rRNA from 1 species